GAUGAAGAACGUAGCGAAAUGCGAUAAGUAAUGUGAAUUGCAGAAUUCAGUGAAUCAUCGAAUCUUUGAACGCACAUUGCGCCCGCCAGUAUUCUGGCGGGCAUGCCUGUUCGAGCGUCAUUUCAACCAUCAAGCCCCCGGCUUGUGUUGGGGACCUGCGGCUGCCGCAGGCCCUGAAAACCAGUGGCGGGCUCGCUAGUCACUCCGAGCGUAGUAAUACAUCUCGCUCAGGGCGUGCUGCGGGUUCCGGCCGUUAAAAGCCUUAUUUACCCAAGGUUGACCUCGGAUCAGGUAGGAAGACCCGCUGAACUUAAGCAUAUCAAUAAGCGGAAGA
rnacentral:misc_RNA from 1 species